rnacentral:rRNA from 1 species
UACGGAGGAUCCGAGCGUUAUCCGGAUUUAUUGGGUUUAAAGGGUGCGUAGGCGGGCUAUUAAGUCAGUGGUGAAAUCCUGCAGCUUAACUGCAGAACUGCCGUUGAUACUGAUAGUCUUGAGUUUGGUUAAGGUAGGCGGAAUGUGUAAUGUAGCGGUGAAAUGCUUAGAUAUUACACAGAACACCAAUUGCGUAGGCAGCUUACUGAGCCGACACUGACGCUGAGGCACGAAAGCGUGGGGAUCAAACAGGAUUAGA